rnacentral:misc_RNA from 1 species
UUUCCGUAGGUGAACCUGCGGAAGGAUCAUUAUUGUAUAACCGAGGUGCGAGGGCUGUCGCUGACCCGAAAGGUCGUGCACGCCCUAGUGCCCUCACACACAUCCAUCUCACCCCUAUGUGCACCACCGCGUGGGUCCCCCUUUGGCUUGUUCGGAGGGGGGCUUACGUUUUCACACAAACUUUGUAUGCAGUGUAGAAUGUAUUUUUUGUUUUUGCGAUCACGCAACCAAUACAACUUUCAACAACGGAUCUCUUGGCUCUC